GACGAACGCUGGCGGCGUGCUUAACACAUGCCAGUCGAACGGGUCUGCCCUGUUUUUUGCGGGGUGGGUCAGUGGCGAACGGGUGAGUAACACGUGAGUAACCUGCCCCUCACUUCUGGAUAACCGCUUGAAAGGGUGGCUAAUACGGGGUGUUCUGGCUGUGCCGCAUGGUGUGGCUGGGAAAGAUUCACUUUUGUGGUGUUUUGGUGGGGGAUGGGCUCGCGGCCUAUCAGCUUGUUGGUGGGGUGAUGGCCUGCCAAGGCUUUGACGGGUAGCCGGCCUGAGAGGGUGGGCGGUCACACUGGGACUGAGAUACGGCCCAGACUCCUGCGGGAGGCAGCAGGGGGGGGUAUUGCACAAUGGGCGGAAGCCUGAUGCAGCGACGUCGCGUGAGGGAUGGAGGCCUUCGGGUUGUGAACCUCUUUCGCCGGUGAAGAAGGUCCUGCUCUUUGUGGUGGGGUUGACGGUAGCCGGGUUAUGAAGCGCCGGCUAACUACGU
rnacentral:rRNA from 1 species